rnacentral:rRNA from 1 species
UACAGAGGAUGCAAGCGUUAUCCGGAAUGAUUGGGCGUAAAGCGUCUGUAGGUGGCUUUUUAAGUCCGCCGUCAAAUCCCAGGGCUCAACUCUGGACAGGCGGUGGAAACUACCAAGCUGGAGUACGGUAGGGGCAGAGGGAAUUUCCGGUGGAGCGGUGAAAUGCGUAGAGAUCGGAAGGAACGCCCGUGGCGAAAGCGAGGUCCUGGACGCCUACUGACGCUGAGACGCGAAAGCCAGGGGAGCGAACGGG